UAAUUAGAAUGGAUAUCAAAAAUCAGCUAUAUAGUAGCAGUCUGCAUUGUGUUCUCGGAUGAGCUGAAGAUAUGAUGGUUCAAACUUCCACUGCGUUGUUACUUCUUCUUUUGCUUGCUGGUGAAUCUGUUUCGGUAAAGCAAGAAAACACGAUGACAACACCUGCUGUAGAACAUUCUCUGAAGGACAUAAAUUCAUUUGGGAGACGUGACAUCAGUCGUGAGACUAUACGUCGUUUUGCAGGAUGGGGACGAAAAAGGUCAUUAUCUAGAGCGGAAUGGCGAGGAAGACACAUGUAAUAUUAAAGCUUAUGGAAAUAAUGACCUGAUUUAUCACAUUAAAACUUGGAAUUGAA